UACGAAGGAUCCAAGCGUUAUCCGGAUUUAUUGGGUUUAAAGGGUGCGUAGGCGGGCUAUUAAGUCAGUGGUGAAAGCCCCAAGCUUAACUUGGGAAUUGCCAUUGAUACUGAUGGUCUUGAGUACACUUGAAAGUGGGCGGAAUGUGUCAUGUAGCGGUGAAAUGCUUAGAUAUGACACAGAACACCGAUUGCGAAGGCAGCUCACUAAAUUGUAAACUUGACGCUGAGGCACGAAAGCGUGGGGGAUCAAACAGGA
rnacentral:rRNA from 1 species